CGGCACCAACACUCUGUGCACACGGCCCUAAUGGAGGUGUUUAUAACGAAAUGUUGUAAUGUGUUUCGUCCAGUGCAAGCCCUUGCGACUUAGAACUAAAGGGCGACUUGUGGUUGUUAUCUGCGAUGACAAAGAUGUUAUGAUGGCCAUCCAAGAUAAUGGCGAAACAUGGCCACAGAAGAGAAGACGAAGAAAAGAGGAAGAAGCAAGAAUUAUCUUGAUGUAAAAACACUGUCAAGAUAAGCAGAUUAACAAGCAUCAGCAUACGAGCAUGAUAACAAGAACAAUGCAUCUCACUUAGCCUGCGCCACGUAACCGUCGAAAUGUUGAUAAGACCUGAUAUCAAGUGACACUUCUGCAUCAGCGACAAAGCUUCCUCCUUGGGAAUGGCACCAUUGUCAUCUUCAUUCCACGUCUUCGUCCUCUUCGUCCUAAAUAAUCAAAAGUAAAUGGAAUGUAAUAACUAUGGCAUCAAUAUGGACAUAUGAAUCGAAAUUUCACACCAUAAGACCAUGGGACGUACAGCUCAGUUAUGCUCAAAAAUUUUGAAGAUUUGGUUUCCUCCUAUGAAACAUAGCAUAACUUUAAUUGCAGAAGGCAUAGCUGCCCACACUAACGACCACACAGAGAUAGAAAUAAUGGUUAUAUCCAUGGAAAUGGACAUGUCUAUGUCCAUUUCCAUAGAAAGGAAUAAUGUACUUAUGCUGCAUCUCAUUUCCUGCAAAGACUGUACCAUAUUUCACUGAGACGGGACUGUGUGAAGUAAGCGAAUUGUCACCCUCAGUUCUCUCUGAUGUGGAUUAAUUUCUUUCUUCGCAAGGUUAAAAAAAGACAAUUCUGUCAUCUGAGGAAAGCUUUGUGUAAAGAAUCUUCAUGGACUAUUUUCCACUCGUGUGAAGACUUGUCAAGCUGAACAGUGUUGGUCGAUCAUCACUCAUACAAGACUCUAUGGACUAUGGACAUUCAAAUGAGGCUCCUCGCAUUGGAUCAACUUUCAUUCCAGCAAAGGGGCUUCCAAAUGAAAGAACUCAAACAAGGCUCCUUCAGUUGGUUCUGGUUUCCCCUGAACAAGGCUCUAUAACGCCAGACAACUGGAAUGGAUCAACUUUCACUUUACCAAGUCUCCUAGAAAUGAAUAGAUUUUUUACUGAAACCAGGCUCUAUGAAAUUUAUCAAUUUUCGCAUCAACAACUUUCUGUGAAAUUGAUCAACUUUAUAUCGUGUUCCAAACUUCUUGAAAUGAAUUAACAUACUUCCACGGCAGGAUAAUGAAUCAACUUUGACGCAAGCAAAACUACGAAACAGGUUAUUCUAACCCUGACAUGACUGAAGUUCCGCUCAUGCAAAGCUUUUUGAAAUGGACCAUUAUUUACCCUGGCAUGACUCUGAACUUUCACUCGAGUAAGGCUCUAAGAAAUUAAUCAAAUUUUCAUCCUGACAGGACUAUGGUAUGAAUCAACUUUCUUUCAAACAAGGCUCUAUGAAAUGGAUCAAUUUAUAUCCUGGCAGGACUAUGCAGUGAGUCAACUAUAAAACGCAUAGUUCUUUAUCCUGUCAGAGCUCAAGAGGUAUAUCAACUUUCAAUCAAAUAAGGCUCUAGGAAACAAAUUUUACCUUGAAAUGACUGCGAAGUGGAUCAACUGCACUCCAACAAGGCUCUACGAAAUGGAUCAACUUUUACCCUGAAACGACAAUAUAGUGGAUCAACUUGCACUCAAACAAGACUCUAUAAAACGGAUCAAUUUUAUCCCUGAAACGACUAUGUAGUGGAUCAACUUUCACUCAAACAAGGCUCUAUGGAACAGAUCAAUUUUACCUUGAAAUGACUGUAAAGUGGAUCAACUGCACUUAAACAAGGCUCUACGAAAUGGAUAAAUUUUUACCCUGAAACGACUAUGUAGUGGAUCAACUUGCACUCAAACAAGACUCUAUAAAACGGAUCAAUUUUAUCCCUGAAACGACUAUGUAGUGGAUCAACUUUCACUCAAACAAGGCUCUAUAUAACGGAUCAAUUUUUACCCUGAAACGACUAUGAAGUGGAUCAACUUUCACUCAAACAAGGCUCUACAAAACGGAUCAAUUUUUACCUUGAAACAACUAAGUAGUGGAUCAACUUUCACUCAAACAAGGCUCUAUAUAACGGAUCAAUUUUAUCCCUGAAACUACUAAGUGGAUCAGCUUUCGCUCAAACAAGGCUCUACAAAAUGGAUCAAUUUUUACUCUGAAACGACUAAGAAGUGGAUCAACUUUCACUCAAACAAGGCUCUAUAAAACGGAUCAAUUUUAUCCCUGAAAGUUCUAAGUGGAUCAGCUUUCGCUCAAACAAGGCUCUAUAAAACGGAUCAAUUUUAUCCCUAAAACGACUAAGAAGUGGAUCAACUUUCACUCAAACAAGGCUCUAUAAAACGGAUCAAUUUUAUCCUUGAAACGACUAAGAAGUGGAUCAACUUUCACUCAAACAAGGCUCUACAAAACGGAUCAAUUUUAUCCCUGAAACGACUAAGAAGUGGAUCAACUUUCACUCAAACAAGGCUCCAUAAAACGGAUCAAUUUUAUCCUUGAAACGACUAAGAAGUAGAUCAACUUUCACUCAAACAAGGCUCUACAAAACGGAUCAAUUUUAUCCCUGAUACGACUAUGAAGUGGAACAACUUUCACUCAAACAAGGCUCUAUAAAACGGAUCAAUUUUAUCCUUGAAACGACUAAGAAGUGGAUCAACUUUCACUCAAACAAGGCUCCAUAAAACGGAUCAAUUUUAUCCUUGAAACGACUAAGAAGUAGAUCAACUUUCACUCAAACAAGGCUCUACAAAACGGAUCAAUUUUAUCCCUGAAACGACUAUGAAGUGGAUCAACUUUCACUCAAACAAGGCUCCAUAAAACGGAUCAAUUUUAUCCUUGAAACGAUUAAGAAGUGGAUCAACUUUCACUCAAACAAGGCUCUACAAAAUGGAUCAAUUUUAUCCCUGAAACGACUAAGAAGUGGAUCAACUUUCACUCAAACAAGGCUCUACAAAACGGAUCAAUUUUAUCCCUGAAACGACUAUGUAGUGGAUUAACUUUCACUCAAACAAGGCUCUACAAAACGUAUCAAAUUUUACUCUGAAACGACUAUGAAGUGGAUCAACUUUCACUCAAACAAGGCUCUAUAUAACGGAUCAAUUUUUACCCUGAAAUUACUAUGAAGUGGAUCAACUUUCACUCAAACAAGGCUCUAUAAAACGGAUCAAUUUUAUCCCUGAAACGACUAUGAAGUGGAUCAACUUUCACUCAAACAAGGCUCUACAAAACGGAUCAAUUUUAUCCCUGAUACGACUAUGAAGUGGAUCAACUUUCACUCAAACAAGGCUCUAUAAAACGGAUCAAUUUUAUCCCUGAAACGACUAUGUAGUGGAUCAACUUUCACUCAAACAAGGCUCUACAAAACGUAUCAAAUUUUACUCUGAAACGACUAUGAAGUGGAUCAACUUUCACUCAAACAAGGCUCUAUAUAACGGAUCAAUUUUUACCCUGAAAUUACUAUGAAGUGGAUCAACUUUCACUCAAACAAGGCUCUAUAAAACGGAUCAAUUUUAUCCCUGAAACGACUAUGAAGUGGAUCAACUUUCACUCAAACAAGGCUCUACAAAACGGAUCAAUUUUAUCCCUGAAACGACUAAGUGGAUCAACUUUCACAAGAAAUCUUCACUCAUCAAAGAAGGCUCUAUGAUAUGGAUCAAUUUUGCCCUAAGAAGUCUAUGAAGCGAAUCAACCUUCACUCAAACAAGGCUCUAUAUAACGAAUCAUUUUUUUUUAGCCUGAAGCCACUUUCGCUCAAACAAGGACAAGGAGUCUGAUUCUAUCCCGACAGGACUAUAAAGUAUAUUAAUUUCCACGCAAAACAAGACUUUAUGAUAUGGAUCAGGUUCACAGACAUCUAUAGUAUUCCUCACUCUGUUAAAGGCGCUUAGGAUUGCAUCAGACAUCAAUCAUCGAAGUAAUUUGAACUGGCACAGUGCUCAACAGUGGACCAGUUUCUUUAAUUCUGAAGGAACUGAAUUUUUUUUUUUUUUUUUUUUUUUUCAACCUGAUUAAUACUCUCUAAAGAAGGUCGGCUGCCCCUUUGUAGUCGAUGGAAUAUUUCAUAUAGUUACAAUCCCAUAAAAAUGCAUUUUUUUUUUUAUCUAUGUUCAUGAAUCAUAACUUUUAGAAGAAUUUGUAUCAUUUUUCACAACAAGAUUUUUCUGUAUUGUAAAUUUAACCCCCCAAAAUUAACAUAGAAAGAAUAAACAACCGUUAUUAGUAAGUCAAGAUUGAUUUUAGAAGACAUUUCCCAUAAUUUUCAUUGUUAAUAUAAUUCCAUACAUAUAAAUAUAUAUAUAUAUAUAUAUAUAUAUAUAUAUAUAUAUAUAUAUAUUUGCCAUUACCAUUAAAUCUCAUUCCAUUUACUUAGCAUGAAAUUUAAUCAGCUUUAGGCUCCAAGGCUGAUGCCUUGAAUACUCACUCUUAAUGGAUCAAACUCUAACAAAACAGAUAACAAUAAAAAAAAAAAAAAAAUAGGACUGAUGUCACAGUCUCUAGUUUAAAAAAAAAGAGUAAAACUGUAAAUAAAAACAAUAAAUCACAUGCUUUUUUCCUAUUUUGAAGCUGUAUAAUUGAAAAGUUAUUUGUAAAAAAGCGUGCAUAAUUGUAAAUAAAAUGAAAAAUGUAUAUAAUGUAUA
rnacentral:lncRNA from 1 species